CAGCAUACAAAAAUAAAUACUGUAAAAUUCCGAGAUAAAAAAUCAUAUUAAUAUGCCUAUGAUCAAUAAACAAAACUUUCAACAAAAAAAAUAAUAAAAUUUGUAUGUAUACAAGAGAAAAAAACAAAAUAUACAUUUAUUCCUAUAAAUUAAAAGUCAUGAAUUUGAAUAGUACUCACUCCGUUUCAGAAAGAUGUACAUUUUAGGUUUUUCAUACAUAUUAAAAAUAUAUAUAUCAGAUUUUAGUUACCAAUGCAUUAUUUUCAGUAAUCAAAUAUUC
rnacentral:lncRNA from 1 species